GGUUUGAUCAUGGCUCAGAUUGAACGCUGGCGGUAUGCUUAACACAUGCAAGUCGAACGGAAACGAAACUAGCUUGCUAGUAGGCGUCGAGUGGCGGACGGGUGAGUAACGCGUAGGAAUCUGCCUGAUAGUGGGGGAUAGCCCGAAGAAAUUCGGAUUAAUACCGCAUAAUCUAUUCGUAGUAAAGUGGGGGACUUUCGAGCCUCACGCUAUCAGAUGAGCCUGCGUAAGAUUAGCUUGUUGGUAGGGUAAAAGCCUACCAAGGCAACGAUCUUUAGCUGGUCUGAGAGGAUGAUCAGCCACAUCGGGACUGAGACACGGCCCGAACUCCUACGGGAGGCAGCAGUGGGGAAUAUUGGACAAUGGGGGCAACCCUGAUCCAGCAAUACCGCGUGUGUGAAGAAGGCCUGAGGGUUGUAAAGCACUUUCAAUUAUGAAGAAAAGUUAACGGUUAAUAACCGUUGACCUUGACGUUAAUUUUAGAAGAAGCACCGGCUAACUCCGUGCCAGCAGCCGCGGUAAUACGGAGGGUGCAAGCGUUAAUCGGAAUUACUGGGCGUAAAGCGUGCGUAGGCGGUUUAUUAAGUCAGAUGUGAAAGCCCCGGGCUUAACCUGGGAACUGCAUUUGAAACUGGUCAACUAGAGUAUGGUAGAGGAAAGUGGAAUUUCUGGUGUAGCGGUGAAAUGCGUAGAUAUCAGAAGGAACAUCAAUGGCGAAGGCAGCUUUCUGGACCAAUACUGACGCUGAGGUACGAAAGCGUGGGUAGCAACAGGAUUAGAUACCCUGGUAGUCCACGCCGUAAACGAUGAUAACUAGCCGUUGGGGGGAUUUACCCCUUAGUGGCGAAGCUAACGCGUUAAGUUAUCCGCCUGGGGAGUACGGCCGCAAGGCUAAAACUCAAAGGAAUUGACGGGGACCCGCACAAGCGGUGGAGCAUGUGGUUUAAUUCGAUGCAACGCGAAGAACCUUACCUGGUCUUGACAUCCUGCGAACUUUCUAGAAAUAGAUUGGUGCCUUCGGGAACGCAGUGACAGGUGCUGCAUGGCUGUCGUCAGCUCGUGUCGUGAGAUGUUGGGUUAAGUCCCGUAACGAGCGCAACCCCUAUCCUUAUUUGCCAGCACAUUAUGGUGGGAACUAUAAGGAGACUGCCGGUGAUAAACCGGAGGAAGGCGGGGACGACGUCAAGUCAUCAUGGCCCUUACGACCAGGGCUACACACGUGCUACAAUGGGAAGGACAAAGAGCCGCGAAGCCGCGAGGUGUAGCUAAUCUCAUAAAUCUUUUCGUAGUCCGGAUUGGAGUCUGCAACUCGACUCCAUGAAGUCGGAAUCGCUAGUAAUCGUAGAUCAGAAUGCUACGGUGAAUACGUUCCCGGGUCUUGUACACACCGCCCGUCAUACCAUGGGAGUGGGUUGCACCAGAAGUGGCUAGUCUAACUUUGUGAGGACGGUCACCACGGUGUGAUUCAUGACUGGGGUAAAGUCGUAACAAGGUAACCA
rnacentral:rRNA from 1 species